UAUGCAAGUUAUCUUUUGUAUUAAACCAUUCCAUAUAGAUGGAAAAAUGGAAUAGUUUGGAUGCUUAGAUCCUUUGCCAGGACCUGCCAGCACAAGGGCUUCUUUGUAGGCUUGAUAGAGGUUGCCUGAGCUGGAAGCUUGGUCUGCAGUUUUCCUUUUAUAUCUGUCUCUAAAGAAAGAUAAUGCCUCUCCCUCUAUCUUCUAUUCUCAUACCUUCAUAUGUUCAAUAGUAAUGAUCUUUUAUGAACACAAGAGGAAGGAUUCAGAGUGUUAUCCCUGUCCUGGGAAAAUGCAUGAAUAAAUACAAUUGUUAGAGAAGUGGUAUCUGACUGCAAGGAAGCCAUUCAAAAUACUUGAGUGUUUUGUAAUAUGAUUAUGAUUCUUCUGUGGUGAAUUUAACCUUGCCAAAUGAAGUAGCUGGAGCAUGCCAGUCAUGUUUUUCAGCCACACAGGUGCUGCCCUGUGUAGUCUCAUUUUUUGUUUCUUGCCAUCAGCAACUCAAUCAGUGAUGACAUCCCUUUUCCCCUGCUCCCCAAAUCUCUUGCUAUGUGCUCAUGUUUGUAUUAGUUCUUUGGGAAAGGUGCCACUAAGUUGCACUGAAAGAUAUUGCCUUUUGCCAAGUAAUUCAUAUACUGAUUAAUGAUAAACUGUCUCAACUUAUUUUAGGUUUUUCCAUUUGUUUAGUCUCAUACUGCUGCAAAGCUGCCACUUAGGUGUAUUGAGGGUUUUCUCCCUCCUGCUGGGCCUUUGGAGCAAGCUGAAGAGCUUCAGUUAUUUCUCUGAAAAAUGUAAAUCAGAUAUAUGGUAUAACUGAUGCUCUCAGAGGAGGCUUUACAGGCUCUGUACAUAUUGGUUUGUUAGGAUUGAGAUGUGUGUGCUGAUUAUUUUUAUGGUUUUCUAUUCCAACACAUUACCCUGUGCUCCACUGAGAAUUGAGCUGGGUUUUUUGCUGUUGUACCAGUUUCUUGCACAAGAUAAGGCUGUUGUUUCAGCAGUGUGUGGAGCCUGUGCCUUAAGUGGGUGUUUUUGUGCCUUCCAGCAGAAAUAGGCAGACAUACCAAUUCCCUGGAGACAGGCCAAUGAUGGUGCUCUUUGCCUUUCCUUCUAGAAUGUCUUCUGUUGUGGCAGGUUUUGUACUCACUUUUAAAAAGUGAUCAGUUUUUGGUACCAUUGCUAUGUGUGUUUAUCAAUGAAGCUGCAUAAUAUGAAUAAAUCACACAGAAAGGUUCUGGAGAACACCUUGGUGAACUAGUUUUGCUGCUGGAGGCGAGUUCAGUGAAUAAAUUUUUAUGAAAACUACAAGAGAUAAUAGACAAUUAUCUAAACAUUUUGGAAUCAGAUAAUUUGGUUCUAAACCAGUUAAAAUUUUGGUUUUAAAUGUUUUGUCUGAGAUACGAACUAAUUUUGGAGAGGCAUGGAUAACCAAAAUAUCAAAAAUUAUUAUUAGUAAGUGCCUGAAAAUUAUGAAGAGAUGGCUGUACUAUGGUUAUAACUGUGGAGUCAUUAAUGAUUUUGCUUCUGUUUUGCUGUCCUAAUGAUAUUUCCAGGUGUGAUACAACUGAAUGAUGUCUCAGGCCAUCUUUAAAUUAGGAUUCAGUGAUUGCUCUGUUUAGUGAUGAGCCUGUUAGCUUUAUGUAUGGAAAUAAGAAUAAUUCUUUUAUCCCAACAGCAUAAAAAAUAAUUAGGUUUCAUUUUUAGAGCUGUGUGACAUUUAUUUCUAUUCUGUCUUGAUUUCAAGCAGCAGCUGUAAAUAAACUAAUGCUGGUCCUUAAUUAUGUGAGUUUCUGCUGUGAAAUCUGGAGUUCUGAAACCUUGAACAUGGUCUGUGGUUUAGCCUUGGCCCCUGGGUGGGAAGAAGAGAGAAAGCCUCCCUCUGUUCAUGGAAACCUAACUGAUGUGUUAUUGUCUCUGAUAAGACCUCAGGAGUGAAGUAAUGCUUUGAAGUGUUUGAAAACAUUAAUCCUCACAUGUGAAUGUAAACCAAAUGUCAUCUCCAUUCUCUGAGUGGGGAAAUAUGCCCUCACUUUUUCCUGGGACACCUGCCUCCCCACACUGCCUAAUGUGGGUUUUUUUGGCAUGCUCUUCUUUAAUACCUGUGGAGCAGAGUGACUUAAUAAAUACUUAAUAUAUGAAAAUUGUUCAGAUAUUUGUGUUUGUUGCCUUACCACAUGUGCAUGCUUUGCUAUUUUCAGCCUUCUGUUCACACUUGGACUUUGUCUUGCCAGCUGUGUGGAAUGCUGGUGUAACAUCUUCAAGGCAGAGUGUGCAGGUCUGCCUAGCACAGUGUCAAGUGCUGCAAACUGGGCAACAAGGCUUGAGUGAGUUUCCAAAAGUCAUGGGCAACUGAGAGCAGGAUUAUUUCCCUUGAGCAGGAUUACUUUCCUUAGGUACUUUAUAAGGAACUUGUUGAACAAGUCUAAGAUAGAUAUGGAAGCCUGGGAUUUCCUGCCAGUAAUGGUGAUUUAAUAUGAAAUCAGUGCCACCUGCACUUUAUAGCUAGGCAUUCAAGGACUCCUUGCCCCAAUAAAUGGACUUGUAGCAGUUUUAGCUCACAGGUGAGCCUUCCCAGUGUUAUAACCCAGCCUGUGUAUUUGCAGGAAUCUUUGAGCAAAAUGGUGCUGCUGUCAUCUCCCUCUUCUCUUCCACGGUCCCUUGGUGCUCUGUGUUGAAGUGAGAUUCUGUCCAGUGUCAGAAUUUGCUGAUACCAAGUCAAGUGAAAGAAUACAUUUGCCUCACAGCUUGUCUUUUCUUCAGAUACUACUUUACAGGGAUACAGAAAGGUCUCAAUAGUUGAGGAAGCUGUUCUCUUUUAAUCCCCAGUGAAUCAUCUGUUUUUCUUUUUCUCCACAUACCGUGCUUGCAGGGAUUAUCUCCUGCAGUUCCUUUUGUCUGCAGGUGGUCCUCUUCAGCCUGGCUGCCUCUGUUCUGCUACAGCUUCCCCUGAGCACAAAUCUUUUCCAGCCUGUCCUGGGGUGAUGGGGAAGGUACUGGAUUGCUAAUGGUCUUGACUGGAAAUGGGAGCAGUACAGCAUGACAAAACACAGGUAUAGUUAUGGCUCAGUCCAUCUCCUAGAGGAUGGAGCCGCUCAUAGUUAGAACCACUCUGUCAGAUGGUACCUGCUGGUUCCUGCAUGGAAAAUUUAGUGUUGAAAUGGAUUUCCAGCUUCUGUUGCUAAAAGUUUCCUGGAAUAUGUCUCCAUCACUUGUUACCAGAUCUCCUUACCUUCACACCAAGCCAUGACUAUUUGCAAAGGAAGCACUGGGUGGUUUUGUGUGGGUGACUUAAACAUUAUUGUACUGGCAUUGGGGGAGGCUGUUGUUCUUGGCUGGAGCCAUAUUUUAAUGCAGCUGAAAUCUGGUGUAGAAAUUAAUGUAGAUGCCAGUUUCCCUAGUGUGACAAGGUAGAGACCAUAGGAGUAGGAACUAAUUUUGGCAAGCUCUUUUGACGGGGUUGAGACAGGCAUUAGUGGGAUGCACUCAGCCCAGAGCAGCUGCAUUUUGCCUUCCAUAUCCUCAGAGGAGCAGUGGAACACAAAACAAAUGCAAGAAUGUUCCUGUAGAAGAUGAAAAGAAAUAAAAGACAGGGCAGUCUAGCAGUUGACUGAAUGCACCCAUGAGGAUGGAAAGGCUAAGAAACGAAAAACUAUUUGAAGCACUUCUAAAGUGGGAGUCUCGGUGACGCUUCAGCAAUGACUUGUUUAGGUUCCUGAUGCUCUUAUCCCACUGUGUGAAUAAAUAUGCAGACCUGGGCUGAUGGAACACACCAGUCAAAGGAAGUUCCCACUGGGGCAUACGUAGUCCGAAAACUUCCAUAAAUUGUUCUGUAAUAUGACAGUUUCCAAUUAUGGGUUUUCAUAAUAAGAGGCUUACUGGCAUCCAGUAAUGCAAGUUAGCUGUGGAAAUUUUUAUUGCUUUUCUUGGCCCCUGUGCACUUCCUGAACAGUAUGUGUUUUGUCCGAGGUGUCCCAUUCUGGGCUUUGAAAGUGUGUCACAACAUGCGUGGGGCUGAGACCCCUGGGAGCUGGCACUUAGAGCCCGAUCAAAAGGAGCUAAACCUGCAAGUGAGGGGCUUAAGGUAUCAGCCCCAGCAUGUAGAUGCUUGGUUGAUUUGUUUGUUUCCUGCCUUGAUGAGGUAAAGUGUUGAUCAGUAAGAGAUUUUCUUAGACACAUGGGAAAUAAUUUUUAUACAGUUCUGAAGAAAACUUCAAACCCUUGGGAAGUAUAGGUAUGCAAAUAUCUUGGAUAGCCCUUCCAGUACUUUUUGAUUAGUUUGCAUUGUCAGCCCACUUUCUUCUUACGGGCACGUGCGGGUACAGGCUUGUUUGGUUUGUGAAAUGUUGAAUAAAUCUUCAAAGAGUAUCAUUGUUUCCAGGAAAUAUGUUUUUCAUACAUGCUUGUAUUGUUUAAAAAAAAAAGGCAGUAAUGGAUAAUACUUUGGUUUGUGCAAGCCAACGGUGUGGAUUUGCUUGGCAUUGCAGCUUUCAAAUGAUACGCACUCAGCACAAGUAGAUUCUUUCCUGAUUACAUGCAAACUCUGUGUAAUUAUUGCAUCUUUUAAAAUAUGUAUUGAUUCAUGGUAUUGUCUUGAAGUUGUAAAUGAUCCAAAAGCCUGUCUGCUUCUUUACAUCAGAUGCAAACUGGAUGUCUUUUUGCAGUAAUUUGCUGGAAAUGCUGGGAUUUCAGAGAAUCAUACCUUUGAAGAUGUAACCUUAGGUUGCUUUCUUCUUCUAAUCCACCCCUCUUGAGUGAUUUAUUCUAGGGACUGUGCAUCAUAGGUUUUGUCCUGGCACCCAUUUUUGUAGUGUUGCAGUGCUGGUGCACAUUACCAGAAAAAAGAUGGCUGGGUGACAGUUUU